CCCUGCAGUGGCCGAGGUAGGCCUCGCCCUCCGGUGCCGAGGUGCGGCCGACGAUGCGCAGCCGGGUCCCGGGCUCGGCCGCGCGGACC
rnacentral:tRNA from 2 species